GUCGCGGUAGCCCAGUUGGUAGAGGUGUCGGCAGUACAGAUUCCGAAAAGCGCAGGUUCAAUUCCUGCCUGCGGUG